ensembl:lncRNA
AUACUCCACACAGGCCUCACUUAUCUUCAGUACUGGAACAUAGCGGGCCUGCUCGACUGUGUUGGCACCUACAACAGCAUUCCAGCAGAUCCUCCCCACCAAUGAAUGCAGUGCUGUAGAGGAGGAGCUCACAUGGGUCACAGUGGCAAUAGAUUGAGAAGGUCAGUCCAGACAUAUCCAUGUCCAGUCACCACAGAUUCCAGCUCCUCCUGGGGUCUCCAUUGAGUAGGACAUGCCUUAUGCAGCUCUAUCAGGACCCAACCAUGGACAUCCAUGGAGAGAGAGAGGGGGCCACAUCAUGCUCACUGACUUUGAAGGUCACCAGACACCCGUGCUGCCAAGAUGUUUACAUUUCUGAGCUGAUAGAAGAGGGAGCAGCUCUAGGGCUGGAGAGCUGCUGGUGCAUGUCAUCUUUUAAGCAGAUGUAGGAAUGCCUCAACCUAUCCCCCCACCCCACACUGUCUCAGACAAUUUAGACUUCUAGAUUUGUUUGUUUGUUGACAUAUUUCAAUUUCAUUUUUCCUUC